GCUUGCUGCCUCCGACUCCUGGGGGAGAAGAACGCAAACCCCACGCUGCGGGGAGGCCGCCUGCCCGGCCCCGGGACCCCCAACUCCACGCGCAGCUCCCAGAGGCGCGGUAGGGCGUGUAGGGGCGCAGGGCCCAGGAACGGCGGCAGCAGUCUCUUCCCAAUGUUGAGAGCAAAAAGUGUGAACCCAGAAAUUCCGAGAUCUCAAUUACUUGCCAAGGUUGACGACACGCGCGUGACAGACUCAGGAAGUCCUCACGACAUGUGCCCAAGGUGGUCGGGACACAGCUUAGUUUUAUACAUUUUAUGGAGACAUGAGACAUCAAUCAGUGUAUGUAAGAAGUACAUUGGUUCUGUCUGGAAAGGCGCGACAACUUGAAGCAAAGGCAGGAAGACCUGAAGCAGGGGGGGCUUCCAGGAAACUGAAGGUGAGGCACAAACUGUUGCAUUCUUUGGAGUUUCUGAUUAGCCUUUCCAAAGGAUGCAAUCAGGUAUGCAUCUAUGUCAGCCAGCAAAGGGGUGACUUUGAAUAGAAUGGGAGGAAGGUUGGCCCUAAGCAGUUCCCAGCUUGACUUUUACCUUUAGGGUAGUGAUUUGGGGGGCCCCAAGAUUUAUUUUCCUUUCACAAAAGCCAUGGAGUGGAUACAGGAGACCCUCCUCUAUUGUAGGCUUGUUGGAGCUUGAAAUCCUUGGAGCUUCUAGAUGGCGGAAGCAACCAGGAGAGUAGGGUAAGGUUGAGAAGGUCAGAGGGUCCUCUCUUCUAGGAGUUUCUCCCAUGUGCUGUGCAGGACGCCUCCCGACCGCCGGUUUCCCUCUAGCUGCAGCCAGGCUCUCGGCUCCCCUCAGGUCCUGCCCCUAGGCGGAUGGCCGAAGACUCCUCCGCUCAAAACCAGCUCAUCCCUUUCUUACCCCAACCUGCUUCCCCUGGGAUCUUUAUGUCAGUAAAUGUCCCCAGCUCUCCCACCAGACCUCCGUCUCACACUUCCUGAUGGCCUACUCUGUGCUCCACCUGACUUCAUACGUGUCCUGUGUACUGGAGUCAGAGUAAUCUCCAAGGCGCCUUUUAGCUCUUAGUGGGCUCUUUAGUUGAAUCUAGGCCUAGAUUGAGAAUCGUCUGUAAUCCUAUCUACUGGGAGGUCGAGGCAUGAGCAUCUCUUGAGUCCAAGAGAGUGAGAUCCGCCUGCUCAACUUAGGAGACCCUGUCUCAAAAAUAAAUAAGAAAAAAGGAAAGAA